rnacentral:rRNA from 1 species
UACGUAGGGAGCGAGCGUUACUCGGAAUCACUGGGCAUAAAGGGCGUGUAGGCGGAUGCGUAAGUCCGAUGUGAAAUCCACCGGCUCACCCGGUGAAGUGCAUUGGAUACUGCGUGUCUGGAGUGUGGGAGAGGAGAGUGGAACUCUUGGUGGAGCGGUGAAAUGCGUAGAUAUCAAGAGGAACGCCGGUGGCGAAAGCGGCUCUCUGGCCCAUUACUGACGCUGAGGCGCGAAAGCUAGGGGAGCAAACGGG